UACGUAGGGUGCGAGCGUUGUCCGGAAUUAUUGGGCGUAAAGGGCUCGUAGGCGGUUUGUCGCGUCGGGAGUGAAAUCCACUGGCUUAACUGGUGGCUUGCUUUCGAUACGGGCAGACUAGAGUUCGGUAGGGGAGUCUGGAAUUCCUGGUGUAGCGGUGAAAUGCGCAGAUAUCAGGAAGAACACCCGUGGCUAAGGCGGCUCUCUAGUACGGUACUGACGCUGAGACGCGAAAGCGUGGGGAGCGAACAGG
rnacentral:rRNA from 1 species